UGCACGUAGGGAUACUAACACACGAAUUACUAUUAAAAUACCCUGUGUGAGACACAUAACAUUAAAACUAUACAUUUAACAUAUCCCCAGAUAGCUCAGGUCUGAGCGCACAUUAUUAAGCGAAUGGCGCUCAGACUACGCGAAUACAGUUUAAUCGCCAUGGAGCCAAAGUCUUUACACAGUCAGUUUCAUGCGAAUGAGCUCCAUGGGAUUCCUAUCUGGGGUAUAACACAUUCAAGCAAAACUACUGAACACCGGGCCGUUCGUGCACUUUCACCGAACAAGAAGGGAGGUCGGCGGCUUCAGCGGUGUUCGCUCAAAACUGUGUCCCAUUUCAGUUCCAUGAAUUAAGCAUCGAACACCGCUGUGCAUUCGCAUGUUUAAAAUGGCCGCGACCUCGUGUUCGUGAUAAGAAUGGCGGCCACCCAGCAUUCACCAAUUAAGCUGCGGUUAACCGCAGAUUCAGGGAGGCUAAUUGCCAGCACACUCCAGCUCCCAGGUGGUCCAGUCAUUUGUGCGGUUGUUCGGUAGAUGAAUCUACCGAACACCAGGCAGAAAAGAACGAAUAAAUCUUUUCUGCAGGUAAAAAAGAUGUCUUUUAACAUGGGGCCAUAGUCUAAAGGCAACAGGUGAGCAACCAGGCUUCUCCAAUGCAAUGUGGCGAGAUUGGUCUCGUAAAACUUAAAACUUACAUUUUCAGAAUCAGCAUACUCCAAAUACAAACAUACGUCAAAAUCAUGCAAAUUGGUCCAGUGGUUCAAAGGAUAGAUCGUAGUCCUUUGUGACCAAAGGAAGCGUGGCUUUUCUGCCCAAAACCAGUUCCACAGAGUCUUCUAUCCUGGAGAUAAUUAGAAGUAAUCCAAUUAUCUCCAAAGACAGAGGCAAAACUCCAUUGAACACAUGGCAGCAAAAAGACAGUAAAAUACAAU